UACAGAGGGGGCAAGCGUUGUUCGGAAUUACUGGGCGUAAAGGGCUCGUAGGCGGCCAACUAAGUCCGACGUGAAAUCCCAAAGCUUAACUUUGGAACUGCGUCGGAUACUGGAUGGCUUGAAUUCGGGAGAGGGAUGCAGAAUUCCAGGUGUAGCGGUGAAAUGCGCAGAUAUCAGGAAGAACACCCGUGGCGAAAGCGGCUCUCUGGAACGGUACUGACGCUGAGACGCGAAAGCGUGGGGAGCGAACAGG
rnacentral:rRNA from 1 species